GUCCCCGACUGGUUCAGUUAUUGGCAGAGGUGCGAGGGUGUGUUUUGAAGGGUUACCAGCUGUCAGCAAUUAAGGAAACAGGACGGCCUCCGCCGGGCAGCAGACAGGCGGAGCACCACCCUCAGCGGGGCUGGAGCUCGGUGGGACAUCCUCUGCGGGGCUGGAGCUCGGAGGGACGUCCUCUGUGGGGCUGGACAACGGGGCAGCUUCCUCGACGGGACAGGACAGCGGGACAGCUUCCUCGGCAGGACAGCUUCCUCGGUGGCAGAGACCUCCCAGCGGGUCUAUGGCUGGAGCUCUGAGGUCGCCAGGCUGACCUCAGGCGGGGGCCCAGAGGUCACCAGAUUGACCUCAGGUGGGGGGCACAGAGGUCGCCAGGUUGACCUCAGGCUGGAGCUUUGGAGAUGAGACCUCCCCGUAGGUCUCAAGCUGGAGCUCUGAGGUCGCCGGGUUGUCCUCAGGCGGGGGCUCCGAGGUCACCAAGUUGACCUCGGGCUGGAGUUCCAGAGCUGAGACCUCCCCGUAGGUCUCUGGCCAGAGCUCUGAGAUUGCCAGGUUGACCUCAGGUGGGGGCUCCAAGGUCACCAAGUUGACCUCGGGCUGGAGUUCCAGAGCUGAGACCUUCCCACAGGUCUCUGGCCGGAGCUCUGAGGACUCCAGAUUGACCUCAGGCGGGGCCCAGAGGUCACCAAGUUAAACUCAGGCUGGGGCUUGGGAGCUGCGGAUUCGAGUGUGUUCACCCACUUGGGAGCUGCGGAGUCUAGCAUGAGGAGGUACUCACCAGGUCCUCCGCCCAGUCCCUGGCCGGGCCGCAAAACCAGGACACCAAGAACCCGAUCCACUGGCUCUUAGUAGGCUUGGGAUACGCCAGGCUGCAGAAAUAAACCUGGCAGCUGCAGAGGAAUUCCAGCGGGUAGCUCCCCAAUUCCGCUGUUGCUGGUGGAAGUUUGGCGGACUGGAAACGCGGCCAGUAGUCCGAGUGUCUCCCAAUAAGGUGUUUUCCUGCUACUUCCAUGGUCAGGGGCAGUAUUCUGUUAAAGGAGUGUUCAUGCCAUAGUUAAAGGAGUGUUCAUGCCAGAGUUAAACGAGUGUUUAAUGCCUGAGUGAAAGGAGUGUUUCAUGUCAUAGUUGUGUUCUAAGUUUAGUGCUUC
ensembl:lncRNA